rnacentral:rRNA from 1 species
UACGGAGGGUGCAAGCGUUAAUCGGAAUUACUGGGCGUAAAGCGCACGCAGGUGGCUGAGUCAGUCGAUUGUGAAAGCCCUGGGCUUAACCUGGGAAUUGCAGUCGAUACUACUCAGCUAGAGUAUGGGAGAGGGUAGUGGAAUUCCCGGUGUAACGGUGAAAUGCGUAGAUAUCGGGAGGAACAUCCGUGGCGAAGGCGGCUACCUGGACCAGCACUGACACUGAGGCACGAAAGCGUGGGGAGCAAACAGG